CAGCUUGUGACGGGACCAGCUGGCUGGUACCAUGAGGUGACUUCUGCCCAGUGCUCUGAUUGUCAAUGCAAAGAGAUUUAGCCAAGCGCGGGUAAACGGCGGGAGUAACUAUGACUCUCUUAAGGUAGCCAAAUGCCUCGUCAACCAAUUAUUGACGCGCAUGAAUGGAUCAAUGAGAUUCCUGCUGUCCCUAGGUGCUGUCCGGUGAACCAACAGCCAAGGGAACGGGCUUGGGUGUGUCAGCGGGGAAAGAAGACCCUGUUGAGUUUGACUCUAGUUUGAUGCUGUGCAACAACAUGUGGGGUGUAGCAUAGGUGGGAGGCAAGUGCCAUGACCCACUCCUGUCGACCAGUCGAUGUGUGAGCUAUGAAGUCUCUAUGGUGCAAACCAGCAGUGAAAUACCACUACCUUCACCGUUGUUUUACUCAUCGAGUGGCUUGGGAACAGUGGCCAUUGGACAUCAGCUCCUGCAAGCCUGUGGGAGUUGUGGCCUUAUCCUGCUUCUUGAUCCAAGUGUGGCUGCUUGCAGUCACAUGACCCUAUGGGGUUCAUACCCUGUCUGUUAGUUUGGUGCCUCGGGACAAUGAUCAGAUGGGGAGUUUGGCUGGGGCGGCAUGCCUGUUACAUCACAACGCAGGCGUCCUGAAGCAUUACUCAGUUGGAACUGAAAUCUUGCAUGGAGGAGCAGGCCAAAGGUGCUGCUGAUGUGGUGACUUUCAGUACAAGUCCAGAACACUCAAGUGUGGCCUUGCGAUCCUUUGGUCAAGUGCACUAUUUGGGAUAUUGAAGCCAGAGGUGUCAGAAAAAUUACCACAGGGAUAACUGGCUUGUGGCUGCCAAGCGCUCAAAGCGACGUCGCUUUUUGAUCCUUCGAUGUCGGCUCUUCCUAGCUUCUCACCCGCAGCUGAGUAGAAGAGUUGGAUUGUUCACCCACUAACAGGGAACGUGAGCUGGGUUUA
rnacentral:rRNA from 1 species